GAUGAACGCUGGCGGCGUGCCUAAUACAUGCUAGUCGAGCGAAUGGAUUAAGAGCUUGCUCUUAUGAAGUUAGCGGCGGACGGGUGAGUAACACGUGGGUAACCUGCCCAUAAGACUGGGAUAACUCCGGGAAACCGGGGCUAAUACCGGAUAACAUUUUGAACCGCAUGGUUCGAAAUUGAAAGGCGGCUUCGGCUGUCACUUAUGGAUGGACCCGCGUCGCAUUAGCUAGUUGGUGAGGUAACGGCUCACCAAGGCAACGAUGCGUAGCCGACCUGAUAGGGGGAUCGGCCACACUGGGACUGAGACACGGCCCAGACUCCUACGGGAGGCAGCAGUAGGGAAUCUUCCGCAAUGGACGAAAGUCUGACGGAGCAACGCCGCGUGAGUGAUGAAGGCUUUCGGGUUGUAAAACUCUGUUGUUAGGGAAGAACAAGUGCUAGUUGAAUAAGCUGGCACCUUGACGGUACCUAACCAGAAAGCCACGGCUAACUACGUGCCAGCCGCCGCGGUAA
rnacentral:rRNA from 1 species